GGAAAAGAAACCAACAGGGAUUGCCUUAGUAACGGCGAGCGAAGCGGCAAUAGCUCAAAUUUGAAAUCUGGCGUCUUUGGCGUCCGAGUUGUAAUUUCAAGAAGUGUCUUCUGGUUUGGCCCUUGCAUAUGUUCCUUGGAACAGGACGUCAUAGAGGGUGAGAAUCCCGUAUAUGGUGAGGUGCCCAUUUCCUUUGUAAGACGCUCUCUAAGAGUCGAGUUGUUUGGGAAUGCAGCUCUAAGUGGGUGGUAAAUUCCAUCUAAAGCUAAAUAUUGGCGAGAGACCGAUAGCGAACAAGUACUGUGAAGGAAAGAUGAAAAGAACUUUGAAAAGAGAGUGAAAAAGUACGUGAAAUUGCUGAAAGGGAAGGGCUUGAGAUCAGACUUGGUAUUCAGUGAUCAGCUGUCUUUCGGGACUGUGCACUCGCUGUUUACUGGGCCAACAUCAGUUUGGAUGGCGAGAUAAUGACAAUUGAAUGUGGCUCUCUCUUCGGGGGGAGUGUUAUAGCUUUUGUUGAUAUCGCCUAUCUGGAUUGAGGACCGCGCUUCGGCUAGGAUGUUGGCGUAAUGAUCUUAAGCCACCCG
rnacentral:rRNA from 1 species